UCUGCCAAUAGACAGGGAACCUGCCUCGUCGGGCUCGGGUAGGUUCGGCUAAAGGUUGAAGGGGUUCCCAAGGAAACCAGCUCAUCUGGUUGGUCCCGGGCCCUGUAGUGACCGGCAGUGACUUCACUGGAUGUCUGGGACUCAGAAUCUCCAUCUGUAAGCAUGCUGGAGGCUCUCCCCUGCCCCCCAGCUCACCGACAACACCUCAAUCUCAGUGAUGUUCCAGAAGGCUUUCCAGAAGUGCACAUCCAGUGUUCCCCGAAGGACACCAGCCCGAUGGAGAGAGUCUGCAGGAACGGCCGGAUGGCAGGCGUGAACUGUGAAGGGAUGCCUGUGUCACCCA